UUUACACUUGUAGCUCUCCUUCUUACAAAGGAAAUGGCUCAGAAAGGAUCUGUGGUUACCUUGCCCUGCUUUAAAAUAUUAACUGCAGCCAGGGACCAGAGGGAUUGAUUUUUUGUUUUGACUUAUUGUUUGAAGAUCUGUAACUCAAAGCAGCUCUCACGCCUCUGAUGUCUAAAGCCUGAGCAGCAUAAAAGCGUGACCAGCAUUUGUCAUCAUGCCUCCCCCGCCCGCAACAUCAUUCAUAUGUCUAUAAUUGUCAUCAAGAUGUGGCAUGUCAGCAGGACUCCUGUGUUCAGAGUUCCCUCGUCUCUACGCAGUCACUCAGUUCAGGAGCUAAUACGGAGAGGCACAAACAUCUAUCAAUCUCACUUGACAUCUACUGCAGUCCUCUUACAAGAUCAAAAGUGUUUAUUUUCUGUACAUGUAUGCAGUAUGUAUAUGUAUUCAUAUAUAUCUUUGCUUACAUACCAGGCCUAGGGAACCAUUUUUCUUCUGCUAAGGGCUACAUUUUCUUAGGAGACAUCUGUUCAGGUUAAGACCAGGCUGCAGGAGGAGGUCUCCAUGAGAUUAAGCAGAGGGCCACAGGUCACCCAGCCCGAUUUGCAUGCAUUUUACACAAAAUGACAUGUGUGCACACAGAUAUUUUCAGCUCUCCAAAAGUUCUGUAGUUUCAGCUUGUCAACAGCUAUUUUAGUAUUAGCCUUUGUGUGUGUGCAAAGACUUCAGAAAUGAGAAACUUGCAUGCAAACAUGUCUAUAACAUUUGAAUAGUCUUGUUUGGAUUUCUGUAGGGAACCUGUGCCUCAAGGUUGAGCAGGGAAACUAUGCCUAAUAUAUGUUCAGCCAUUGCACCCUCUUAUAAGGAGUAACCUUCUGUUUCACGCAAGAACAAGGUUUGCUCAUUUUUAAAGGGACAUUUACUGCUCCAUAACAUGACUUUAGCACAGUGGUUCUCAAUCUGUUGGUCGGGUCCCCAGAUGUUUUGGCCUACAACUCCCAGAAAUCCCAGUCAGUUUACCAGCAUUGAUUUCUGGGAGUGGAAGGCCAAAACAUCUGGGGACCCACAGGUUGAGAACCACUACUUUAGCACAACUUCCACCAAAGAAAGAGCAAGGCUCAUGAUGAUAUAAUCAGACUCCCUUAUCUUCUCUAUCAGCAAAGCAUGUAUGUAUGUUUUGUUAGAUACCAAAAUUUAUUUUACACCUUCUUGGGUUUUCUUUUCUUUUCAAGAAACAGAGGUCUUAUAUAGUGAGCUUUAUUAGAAACUCUUUUGGAGCAUACAAUCCUUAUGAUUUCCAUCCUAUGGAAACAAAGCAAAACAACUAUCUCAAUGAUAUAGCACAUAAAUCCUACACCUGUAACAUCUUCUAAUAGCCUUAUAUUGCCAUGUUUCAGGAUGCUGGCUGAAGUCACAAAGAAUUGCUGUCUUUUCUCUGUGGCAGGCUAGGAGAGAAAUCUCAGAAUAGAUACAGAAACACUUUCCAUGUUUUGUGUGGGCUGUAGGUAUAGCAGAAUAGGAUAUGAGCCCUAACUAGAAAGAGUAAAGUUAACAGAAAAAUAUCAAUGUGUUAAGUUAACCAUUAAUAAAUAAGUUAACAAAUCUGAUUCAAUUGCUUUUAUAUUGCAAAGGGAAACAAUUUCAACUACUACACUGAUUAAAUUGCUAUUUCAAUGUACAUUAAAAGUUUAUACUAAAUCUAUGAUAGACUGGAACUCAGAAAUGCCUACUGUGUGAUUUUUCACUUCCCGUCUCCUUUUAUCCCAUCUUGAGUUUGGUAAUACAAAGAUCACCCUUCUUUCCAAGUUGAACUUACUUUUUGUCUUUUAAAAAUGUGUUAACCUUGGAAUUAAUCCUGUUCCAACCAUUAACUAACUAAAUAAAAAUUCUUA